rnacentral:lncRNA from 1 species
GUGAGGUGGCUGUCCUUGAUUGGUUAUCAAUGAGCCAUAGGGCACAUUCCCUGAGAAUCAGGGAUAGUUUUAAUUAGGAACCAAGGAGCCCAUAUGUUUAUGUAGGAAUUCUUUGUAAGAAUAUCUCUAACAGAUACUCUAAAAGAGUGACCUGCAAAAUAGGUUUAGAGGUCGCUGUUGAACGAAUUUGCGGGGCCAUU